CAAUAAAUAAUACCUUCUCCCAUUUUCUUUUGUUCUUUAUAUGCUCUCUUAGUUAAGUAUAACUAAUAUUUGCAACAUAUUGGUAUCAGAGCAGUCUUCUUAAAGGGACUUGUGCGUGAACCAAGUGAACCUCACCAAAAAGGCCUAAACACCUUGCUUCCAUCCAUUAAAUAAAUGGAUUCUGAAACACCAUUCACAGCUCUAGCACCACCAGUGUUUAAUGGUGACAAUUAUCAUGUCUGGGCAGUCAGAAUGGAGGCACACCUAGAGGCAAAUGAUCUCUGGGAAGCUGUUGAGGAAGACUACGAAGUUCUUCCAUUACCAGACAAUCCAACACUGGCACAGCUCAGAAAUCAUAAGGAAAGGAAAGCAAGAAAGUCAAAGGCAAGAGCUUCUUUGUUUGCUGCUGUCUCACCAGCAAUUUUCACCAGAAUUAUGACCAUGAAAUCAGCAUUUGAAAUUUGGAAUUUCCUCAAGAAUGAAUAUGAAGGAGAUGAGAGGAUCAAGGGAAUGCAAGUGCUGAAUCUAGUCAGAGAAUUUGAGAUGCAGAAAAUGAAAGAGUCUGAGACAAUUAAAGAAUAUGCUGAUAAGCUUCUUAGCAUUGUCAACAAGGUAAGAUUACUUGGUUCUGAAUUUUCUGAUUCAAGAAUAGUUCAGAAAAUACUAGUAACUAUUCCUGAAAGAUUUGAAGCUACCAUUUCUUCCUUGGAAAAUGCUAAAGAUCUGUCAAGAAUCAGCUUGGCAGAACUUCUAAAUGCUUUGCAGGCCCAAGAACAAAGAAGAAUAAUGAGGACUGAAGGUUCUGUGGAGGGAGCAUUGCAAGCUAAAUUGCAAAUCAACCAAGGAGAAAAAGGCAAGAAAAAGAAAAACAAAAAGAAGAACUUUGGCACACCAGAAGCAGCUGCUAACACUGGCAACAGUAGUGGAGGAAACAACAAAGAAUUUCCUCCUUGCAGACACUGUGGCAAAAAGGGUCAUCCACCUUUCAAGUGUUGGAGAAGACCUGAUGUUAAGUGCGAUAAGUGCAACAAGUUGGGGCAUCAUGAGAGAAUCUGCAAAAGCAAUUUUCAGCAGAGGAAUGAGGCUCAAGUUGCAGACCAGCAGGAGGAGGAAGAGCAGUUGUUUGUAGCAACCUGUUUUGCAAGCAGCAGCUCAAGUGAAUGUUGGCUAGUGGAUAGUGGUUGUACCAAUCACAUGACCUAUGAUCAAGAGCUUUUUAGAGAGCUAGACAGAUCAGAGGUAUCAAAAGUCAGAAUUGGCAAUGGUGAGCAUAUUACUGUCAAAGGAAAGGGAACUGUAGCCAUUGAAAGUUGCACAGGUAUAAAAUUAAUUACUGAUGUUCUGUUUGUACCUGAUAUUGACCAAAAUUUGCUAAGUGUGGGACAGUUACUUGAGAAGGGAUUUAAAGUCAUUUUUGAAGAUAAGCAAUGUUUAAUCAAGGAUGCCAAUGAUAAGGAAGUCUUCAGAAUCAAAAUGAGAGGCAAAAGCUUCUCACUAGAUCCAUUGAAGGAGGAGCAAGCAGCUUAUCCUAUUGCUAUGAGCAACACAGAGACCUGGCAUAAAAGACUAGGUCAUUUUCAUCAUGCAGCAGUCUUGUCUAUGCAAAAGAAGCAGUUGGUUCAGGGAUUGCCUCACUUGGAAUCUGAUGUGCCAAAUUGUAAGGCUUGUCAGUUUGGCAAGCAAGCAAGAUUACCCUUCUCACAAUCAACUUGGAGAGCAACUAAGAAGCUACAACUCAUUCACACUGAUCUGGCUGGACCUCAGAGAACUCCUUCACUUAAAGGCAGUAAAUAUUACAUAGUUUUCAUUGAUGACUUCACCAGAAUGUGUUGGAUUUAUUUUCUCAGGUUUAAGUCAGAAGUUGCAGGAGUUUUCUUGAAAUUCAAGCAGUGGAUUGAGAACCAAAGUGGCUGCAAGAUUAAAGUUCUAAGGUCUGACAAUGGCAAAGAAUAUACUUCAGAACAAUUUAACUUGUUCUGUGAUGAAGCAGGCAUUGAGCAUCAACUCACUGCUCCAUACACUCCACAACAGAAUGGAGUGAGUGAAAGGAAGAAUAGAACAAUUGUGGAAAUGGUAUGGUGCAUGCUCUAUGAAAAAGGAUUGCCUAAGGAGUAUUGGGCAGAGGCUGCAAACACUGCAGUAUUUCUGCUAAACAGGCUUCCCACCAAAGCAGUAAAUGGGAAGACUCCUUUUGAGGCUUGGUAUGGUUACAAGCCCUCUUUGCAAAAUUUUAAAGUGUUUGGAUGCUUGUGUUUUACUCAUGUGCCACAGAUUAAAAGAGACAAGCUUGACAAGAAAGCUGAGCCUGGCAUCUUUGUGGGAUAUAGCUCAAUAUCUAAGGCUUAUAGAAUUUUCCAACCUCAAACAAGGAAAAUUCUCGUAAGCAGGGAUGUGCACUUCAUAGAGAAUGAGCAAUGGAGCUGGAAUACUGCAGAAAAGAAGCUGAUUGCUGAUCCUAUAGAAAAUCAGGAUGAGUUAGUUGAUGACCCUCCUGUAAGAGGCACUAGAUUGCUCUCUGAUGUUUAUCAGAGAUGCAGUGUUGCUAUUCUUGAACCAGCAGGAUAUGAAGAGGCUAAAAAUGAUCCAAGAUGGAUGGUUGCAAUGCAGGAGGAGUUAAGAAUGAUUGAGAAAAAUCAGACAUGGGAGCUGGUUGAUAGACCUGAGCACAGAAAAGUCAUUGGUGUCAAAUGGGUGUUUAGAACCAAGCUAAAUGCAGAUGGCUCCAUUAACAAGCACAAGGCAAGGCUAGUGGUGAAAGGCUAUGCUCAAGUGUUUGGUGUAGAUUACUCAGAAACUUUUGCUCCUGUAGCAAGAUUGGACACUAUCAGGUUGCUGCUGGCAUUGGCUGCUCAAUAUAGGUGGAAGGUAUUUCAACUCGACGUGAAAUCAGCUUUUCUCAAUGGAUAUCUACAAGAGGAAAUUUUUGUUGAACAGCCAGAGGGAUUUGUUGUAAAUGGUCAAGAGAACAAAGUUUAUCUCCUUAAGAAAGCUCUAUACGGAUUGAAACAGGCUCCAAGGGCUUGGUACAGCAGAAUUGAUCAACACUUGCUGGACCAAGGCUUUGUGAAGAGUCUGAGUGAGUCCACUCUUUAUGUUAAGCAUGCUGACAAAAAUCUUGUGAUUGUCUCACUUUAUGUAGAUGAUCUUUUAGUCACAGGAAGCAAUGAAGCUCUUAUUGAGCAAUUCAAGAAAGAAAUGACAAGGGUGUUUGAGAUGACAGACUUGGGAGCUAUGGCAUUCUUUCUUGGCAUGGAGAUUAAACAAAAUCAGCAGGGCAUUUUCAUAUGCCAAAAGAAGUACGCUAAGGAGAUCCUAAAGAAAUUGCAGAUGGAGGAGUGCAAGCCAAUGAGCACUCCUAUGAAUCAAAAGGAAAAGUUUUGCAAGGAAGAUGGAACUGAGAAAGUGGAGGAGACUAACUACAGAAGUCUUAUUGGUUGCUUGAUGUAUCUCACAGCAACAAGACCUGAUAUACUACAUGCUGUGAGUGUUCUGUCCAGAUUCUUACAUUGUGCUAGUGAAUUGCAUCUUAAAGCUGCUAAACGUGUGCUUAGAUAUGUCAAAGGAACAGUGGAUCAUGGAAUUUUGUUUCAACAAAACCAAGAUUUUCAGUUUCUUGGUUUCUCGGAUAGUGACUGGGCUGGUUCCUAUGAUGAUAUGAAAAGUACUUCAGGGUAUUGCUUCACACUUGGUUCAGGAGUAUUUUCAUGGAGUUCAAAAAAACAGGAGAUAGUGGCUCAGUCAACUGCUGAAGCAGAGUUCAUUGCUGCAACAGCAGCAGUGAAUCAAGCUUUGUGGCUCAGAAAAUUAUUGGCUGAUCUGCAUAUGGAACAAAAGGAAAGCACAAAAGUCUUUGUGGAUAAUCUGGCAGCUAUAGCCAUUGCCAACAAUCCAGUUUUUCAUGGAAAAACAAAGCAUUUUAGUAUAAAGUUGUUCUUUCUCAGAGAUGUUCAAAAAGAUGGUGCAGUGUGCUUGAAGUAUUGCAAGACUGAAAACCAGCUAGCAGAUAUCUUCACUAAAGCUCUUCCUAGAAGCAAGUUUGAGUUUCUAAUAGAGAAACUUGGAAUCUCCACCCACUGAUGCAAGGAGGAGUAUUGAAUGUGUGCAUCAGUAGCUGCAGGGUUGCUGAUAAGGAGGCUGACAUGGCUAGCAGAGAUGGCAGCACAUGUGAAACUGAGGAUGCAAGCUCAGGUUUUAAUGCCAGGUGUCUUUAAGAUCAGAUUGUAAGGGUUGCAACUGAUAUUCAAUGCAACAUAUGCUCUUUGACCUAGUUUUUAGGAGAUUAGUUUUGAUUUUCUGUUAUUUACUAGCUGUUAAGGUUAGUAGCUAAAGUUUAGGAAGUUUGUUGCUCUUAUUUCUGUUUUUUAGUUGCAAACUCAUGUAUUUAAGCAGAUCAUUAUU
rnacentral:misc_RNA from 1 species